UAAGCUGGACAGCCGCGCGGCCGGGGCGAAAGGCCCGGCUGUGAGGAAAGUCCGGGCUCCAUAGGGCAAGGAUAACGGGUAACACCCGCCGGGGGCGACCCUAGGAAAAGUGCAACAGAGAUAUACCGCCCCAGACCGUUUUCUGGUUUGGGGUAAGGGUGGAAAGGCGAGGUAAGAGCUCACCCGAUGGCUGGGAACAGUCCAUCGCUGUAAACUCUAUCCGGAGCAACGCCGUGGAGGGACACAUAAGGCCGGCCCGGCCGUCCCGGGGAGGCGGCUUGAGCGUACCGGCAACGGUGCGUCGAGAUAGAUGGCUGUCUUAAACGACAGAACCCGGCUUACAGGCUUACUUGU
rnacentral:RNase_P_RNA from 1 species